AGAGAGAGAGGGGGCAAGCAAGAAAAAGUUGGCGAAUUAGAGUGAGAAGGAAGAACUGGCGACAGUAGAGGGGCUUUUCCGUGGUUCCUUUUGGAUUACAAGUGCACACUAGAGUUUAAGGUGGCACAGUCAUUUCUCCCAAGGAAACAAAGAGCAGAUCUUUCUCUCUUCUCCAACCAUUCCGCGAGCCCGCAGCACAGUGCACAGACAAGGAUCCAUCGGGUGAGCGCCACUGUUGGAAUUGACGUGGGAUAUUUGUUGGGUUCCGUAACGUGUUGCAGUUUCAUAGAUGAGAGGAGGAGGGAUGCUCUUUCCUGUCCGAGACAAGAGGGCUCCUCUGCAGGUGCUGUCGGAAGGAGAAGAAGGCCUCUUUUGGUGUGCUACUCCUCCUCCUCCUGCUUGUGUUGCUAAUAAGAGGAAGAAGGGAGCAGCGAGGGAGGAAGGAUUGCUGUCGGAGCCGCGGUCAGUCCUGGAAAACCGGUGGAGCCCCAGCCCGCCAAGCUCCGCUUCUUCCACCCUACCCUGUCUUCGUCCCUAGUGGGUGGCGGCGGCAACGGCGAGCCGGCCUCCUCUGACGGCUCCGCCACCGCCAUCCCGUCGGCGGCAGCGGCGCUGGAAGAGAUCUGCAGGGAGGAAGGGACGGCAGAGCUCCCGCCCACCCCCGCGGCCCUGGCUGCGGGAGGGGACUGCAACUUUGGAGGCGUUGAUGUUUGGGAGGCUUUGCUCUCGGAGUCGGCUGCCUCCCUUGGCCAAGACCAGAUUUUUCUCCGGUGGAACGUUGGCGAGGUUGACGAUACCCCUGCUGCCGGCAUUAAUGGCACCGGAUUCCCGCUCGGAGGCCUCUUCGAUCCGGCAUUUGCGCUGGAAGGCGCAUCGGUUCCGGCGGAGGCCAUAAAUCCUCCACUGGUUUCCUCUCUUAACUCUGCCGGUCGAUUUGAAUCCAAAGGUGCCGCCGUCGAUUGCGGGAAUACAAACCUCAAUCCAUGCCUCCCUCCUCCGCCGGGGUCCCUCUUCCAAGAAUCCAUGGAGGAGAGGCCCUUCCCUUUCAGCAUGAACAAGCUCUUAGCCCAGCAACAGCAGACCCAACCCCCAAACUGCCCUUCCUUCUUCCUGCCUUUGCACACUUCUGCCGGCAACCGUGAGGAUCACCAGCCACAGCACUUCUCCUCUCCUCUGCAGAAACGACCUGCCGUCGUCGACUCCUUCCAUGGCUCCCGUACCCCUGGUCUCUUCCUCCGCGGCGACCAGCCCCAGCAGCUGGGCUUCCCUCAGCACCUCAAUGCCUCCGCGUUCCAGCUUCAACCGACACCGGCAAAGCCCAAAUUAGCUGACGGAAAUGAGUCGGACGCUGCAGCGGCAACGAUGCACCAGCAGCAUCAAGCAUUGGUCGAUCAGCUUUUCAAGGCGGCGGAGUUGAUCGAAGCAGGGAACAUCGUCAGCGCCCGUGGGAUAUUGGCGCGGCUCAAUCACCAGCUCCCCUUUCCUGUAGGGAAGCCACUCCUGCGGUCCGUCUUCUACUUCAAGGAGGCCCUUCACCUCGUCGCCGCCAAAUCACACCGCUCACCUCCGCCUUCUUCAUCCGCUAUCUCCACACCAUUGGACGUCGUGCUCAAGCUCGGAACUUACAAGACCUUCUCCGACGUCUCACCCAUCGUCCAAUUCACAAGCUUCACAUGCAUCCAGGCCCUAUUGGAGGCGCUUGGUAGUGCAACUCGCAUCUACAUCAUCGAUUUUGACAUCGGGAUCGGUGUGCAGUGGUCAGCCUUCAUGCAGGAGCUUGCCCAGCGUUGGUCCACGGCAAUGGCUGCCGUUCCCUACCUCAAAAUCACAGCGUUUACGUCGCCCAGCUCCCACCACCCCCUCGAGCUCCAUCUCAUCCACCAAAACCUGUGCCAUUUUGCCAGCAGCCUAAGCAUCCCCUUCGAAUUCGAUGUUCUUAACCUCAACGACUUCGAGCCGUCAAAUUUCCUCAGAAUGUGUUCUGCUCUCGACGCUGCCGUUGCCGUCAACCUCCGUGUAGGGUCUGCAGCUUGCCCGCCCAUCUCGACUCUCCUACGCUUCGUGACGCAGCUCUGCCCCAAGAUUGUGGUCUCAGUGGAUCAUGGAUGUGAUCGCGUCGACCUACCCUUUGCCCAUCACGUCCUCCAUGCAUUCCAGUCAUGCACGGUGCUCCUGGAUUCGAUUGAUGCAGCAGGCACCAAUCAGGAUGUAGUGAGCAAGAUCGAGCGAUACUUAGUGCAGCCAAGGAUUGAAAAUGCUGUGUUGGGCCGCCGCUGGUCGUCAGACAAGACACUACCAUGGCGAACUCUCUACGCCUCAGCUGGAUUUGUGCCCAUGCGCUUUAGCAACUUCACGGAGACACAAGCAGAGUGUCUUCUAAAGAGGGUGUUGGCAAGGGGCUUCCAUGUGGAGAAGCGCCAAACAUCCCUUUCCCUCUGUUGGCAGCGCAGGGAACUCGUAUCAGUGUCGGCUUGGAAGUGCUAAAGGAGCUACUUGCCAAUGCUUGCGCUGCAUCCAUGCUCCAUGGUCUUUUGUUGGAUAGUUCCUUUGGACCAAGGCAUGGACAAACUGAAGGUCUGGUACAGUUCCAACUUUUAUAGCCAUCUUAUCUUUAUGGACAAUGAUGGAAAAUGUGAUGAUAGCAGGUAGCUCGGUGUUUCUUCUUCAGCUGUCGUCGUCCCUUCAUAUCCUGAAACUCUAUCACAGAAUGGAAUGUGAAUGUGUCAAGAAUUAUUCUUGAGCUGGAUGUGAAUGUGUGGUCCUGAUGGUGUAAAAAUUGCAAGUAUGUCUCCAAGUAAUUGAAUUUGUUGGUAGUUAAAGAAAUCUUCUGAAUCAAUCAA